GAUGAACGCUGGCGGCGUGCCUAAUACAUGCAAGUCGAGCGAACGGACGAGAAGCUUGCUUCCCUGAUGUUAGCGGCGGACGGGUGAGUAACACGUGGAUAACCUACCUAUAAGACUGGGAUAACUUCGGGAAACCGGAGCUAAUACCGGAUAAUAUUUUGAACCGCAUGGUUCAAAAGUGAAAGACGGUCUUGCUGUCACUUAUAGAUGGAUCCGCGCUGCAUUAGCUAGUUGGUAAGGUAACGGCUUACCAAGGCAACGAUGCAUAGCCGACCUGAGAGGGUGAUCGGCCACACUGGAACUGAGACACGGUCCAGACUCCUACGGGAGGCAGCAGUAGGGAAUCUUCCGCAAUGGGCGAAAGCCUGACGGAGCAACGCCGCGUGAGUGAUGAAGGUCUUCGGAUCGUAAAACUCUGUUAUUAGGGAAGAACAUAUGUGUAAGUAACUGUGCACGUCUUGACGGUACCUAAUCAGAAAGCCACGGCUAACUACGUG
rnacentral:rRNA from 1 species